rnacentral:misc_RNA from 1 species
UUAACUAUUAUAUAGUACUCAGACAAUAAUAUAAACAUGAGUUUUAGGUCCUCUGGCAAGCACUGACCAGCCAAAGCCGGUUGUCUUUCGACGGGCCUGCCAAAGCAACAAUGGUAUUGUAAACAAAGGGUGGAGUAGUAGACCGAAGUCUCUAUACUCUUUAAUGAUCCUUCCGCAGGUUCACCUACGGAAA